rnacentral:rRNA from 1 species
AUUGAACGCUGGCGGCAUGCCUUACACAUGCAAGUCGAACGGUAACGCGGGGCAACCUGGCGACGAGUGGCGAACGGGUGAGUAAUGUAUCGGAACGUGCCCAGUUGUGGGGAUAACUGCUCGAGAGAGCAGCUAAUACCGCAUACGACCUGAGGGUGAAAGCGGGGGAUCGCAAGACCUCGCGCAAUUGGAGCGGCCGAUAUCAGAUUAGGUAGUUGGUGGGGUAAAGGCUCACCAAGCCAACGAUCUGUAGCUGGUCUGAGAGGACGACCGGCCACACUGGGACUGAGACACGGCCCAGACUCCUACGGGAGGCAGCAGUGGGGAAUUUUGGACAAUGGACGCAAGUCUGAUCCAGCCAUGCCGCGUGCGGGAAGAAGGCCUUCGGGUUGUAAACCGCUUUUGUCAGGGAAGAAACGCUCUGGGUUAAUACCUCGGGGUAAUGACGGUACCUGAAGAAUAAGCACCGGCUAACUACGUGCCAGCCGCCGCCGUAAGAC